UACCGAGUGAGGGCCCUCUGGGUCCAACCUCCCACCCGUGUUUAUUUUACCUUGUUGCUUCGGCGGGCCCGCCUUAACUGGCCGCCGGGGGGCUUACGCCCCCGGGCCCGCGCCCGCCGAAGACACCCUCGAACUCUGUCUGAAGAUUGUAGUCUGAGUGAAAAUAUAAAUUAUUUAAAACUUUCAACAACGGAUCUCUUGGUUCCGGCAUCGAUGAAGAACGCAGCGAAAUGCGAUACGUAAUGUGAAUUGCAAAUUCAGUGAAUCAUCGAGUCUUUGAACGCACAUUGCGCCCCCUGGUAUUCCGGGGGGCAUGCCUGUCCGAGCGUCAUUUCUGCCCUCAAGCACGGCUUGUGUGUUGGGCCCCGUCCUCCGAUCCCGGGGGACGGGCCCGAAAGGCAGCGGCGGCACCGCGUCCGGUCCUCGAGCGUAUGGGGCUUUGUCACCCGCUCUGUAGGCCCGGCCGGCGCUUGCCGAUCAACCCAAAUUUUUAUCCAGGUUGACCUCGGAUCAGGUAGGGAUACCCGCUGAACUUAAGCAUAUC
rnacentral:rRNA from 2 species